ensembl:snRNA U2 U2 spliceosomal RNA
AUCGCUUCUCGGCCUUUUGGCUAAGAUCAAGUGUAGUAUCUCGCAGGUUUAUACAACAGUAUGGGGAAAUCCAUU